CCUACGGGGGGCAGCAGUAGGGAAUCUUCCGCAAUGGACGAAAGUCUGACGGAGCAACGCCGCGUGAGUGAUGAAGGUUUUCGGAUCGUAAAGCUCUGUUGUUAGGGAAGAACAAGUACCUGUUAAAUAAGCAGGUACCUUGACGGUACCUAACCAGAAAGCCACGGCUAACUACGUGCCAGCAGCCGCGGUAAUACGUAGGUGGCAAGCGUUGUCCGGAAUUAUUGGGCGUAAAGCGCGCGCAGGCGGUUCCUUAAGUCUGAUGUGAAAGCCCACGGCUCAACCGUGGAGGGUCAUUGGAAACUGGGGAACUUGAGUGCAGAAGAGGAGAGCGGAAUUCCACGUGUAGCGGUGAAAUGCGUAGAGAUGUGGAGGAACACCAGUGGCGAAGGCGGCUCUCUGGUCUGUAACUGACGCUGAGGCGCGAAAGCGUGGGGAGCGAACAGGAUUAGAUACCCUGGUAGUCCACGCCGUAAACGAUGAGUGCUAAGUGUUAGAGGGUUUCCGCCCUUUAGUGCUGCAGCAAACGCAUUAAGCACUCCGCCUGGGGAGUACGGUCGCAAGACUGAAACUCAAAUGAAUUGACGG
rnacentral:rRNA from 2 species